UACAGAGGUCUCAAGCGUUGUUCGGAUUCAUUGGGCGUAAAGGGUGUGUAGGUGGCGCGCUAAGUCGGGUGUGAAAUUUCGGAGCUUAACUCCGAAACUGCAUUCGAUACUGGCGUGCUUGAGGACUGGAGAGGAGACUGGAAUUCCCGGUGUAGCGGUGAAAUGCGCAGAUAUCGGGAGGAACACCGGUGGCGAAGGCGGUUCUCUGGGCCUGACCUGACGCUGAGGAGCGAAAGCGUGGGGAGCGAACAGG
rnacentral:rRNA from 1 species